rnacentral:rRNA from 1 species
UAAUACGGGGGGGGCAAGCGUUGUUCGGAAUUACUGGGCGUAAAGGGCGCGUAGGCGGCCUACUAAGUCGGACGUGAAAUCCCUCGGCUCAACCGAGGAACUGCGUCCGAUACUGGCAGGCUGGAAUCCGGGAGAGGGAUGUGGAAUUCCAGGUGUAGCGGUGAAAUGCGUAGAUAUCUGGAGGAACACCGGUGGCGAAGGCGGCAUCCUGGACCGGUAUUGACGCUGAGGCGCGAAAGCUAGGGGAGCAGACAGG